GUGUGUGUGUGUGUGUGAAUUUUGUGUCAGGUCAAUAAAAAUCAGAUAUAAAAUAGGAGUAUCAGAGUACAUCCUGCCCCCUAUCAAUGUAGAAAGAAAAAAGGUGGAAAGACUGGAAAGAAGUCCAAGAAAUGCGUUCAAAAUGAUAAUGGCAUCGACGACUAGUGGUGCUACUGAUAAGACUACUCCAAAUCACGAUUAUAAAGAACUAAUAAAUAAUAAUCGUGCUCCAAAUACAGAGGGAUUAAAGUAGUACACAAAGUAGUAGACAUCUUAAGACCUGAUAUAUGAUAUAGGAAAACAUAAAUAUAUUUUAUUCAUGAUGUUUACACAAGGAAAAAGAAAAACACCAACAAGUACUACUACUUAGUCGUUUUGAUGUCGUAUCCUGUUUAGAAGAGACAAAUAAGGUAACCAAUUCAUGAUCUCUCAGGCGUUCCUCAAAGUGAGCAUCUUUCACCCACAUUAUUUCUAUUAUUUAUAAAUUAUAUAAAUACGAUUAUAAAAACAUUCAAAUAUUUUAUUAUUCGCUGAUGACGCUAAAAUAUUUAAAA